rnacentral:rRNA from 1 species
AGAGUUUGAUUCUGGCUCAGGAUGAACGCUAGCUACAGGCUUAACACAUGCAAGUCGAGGGGCAGCAUGACCUAGCAAUAGGUUGAUGGCGACCGGCGCACGGGUGAGUAACACGUAUCCAACCUACCGGUUAUUCCGGGAUAGCCUUUCGAAAGAAAGAUUAAUACCGGAUAGCAUAGCGAGAAGGCAUCUUCUUGUUAUUAAAGAAUUUCGAUGACCGAUGGGGAUGCGUUCCAUUAGUUUGUUGGCGGGGUAACGGCCCACCAAGACAUCGAUGGAUAGGGGUUCUGAGAGGAAGGUCCCCCACAUUGGAACUGAGACACGGUCCAAACUCCUACGGGAGGCAGCAGUGAGGAAUAUUGGUCAAUGGACGAGAGUCUGAACCAGCCAAGUAGCGUGAAGGAUGACUGCCCUAUGGGUUGUAAACUUCUUUUAUAUGGGAAUAAAGUGAGCCACGUGUGGCUUUUUGUAUGUACCAUACGAAUAAGGAUCGGCUAACUCCGUGCCAGCCGCUGC